AAAUUCAAAUGUUGUUUCAAUUACUAUCAACGCGUCAAAAAUAAAUGCACAGUUUGUCACCCAGGCACUUAUGGCAAUAAUUGCGAAGAAAUAUGUCCUAAUGGAACAUUUGGCUAUUUAUGUCGAGAUAAAUGCAAUUGUAACCAAGAUGUUAUCUGUGACAGUCAAUUUGGUUGUGUUGAUCAAGCUUGUCCACCAGGAUUUUUUGGCUCCAACUGUUCACAUCGUUGUCCCGUUGGAUGGCAUGGAUUAUUUUGUAAAGAAAAAUGUUCCUGUGAAACUGACUGUGAUCCAGACCUUAAAUGCAAUA